GAUUCAGACAGGCUUAAUGUUUUAAACUUUUAAAGAUUUGAAAAUGUUACUGUAAUACUGCUAAAUGUUAAUAUAAUACAUAAUAUAUAGUCACAUAAUAACACUAAAAAGACAACAUUUAUAGUUAUGUUUCAUUGCUCUGCAAAGACGGUAAAAAUUGUUAAUAUUAUUAUAUUGUUAAUAUUAUUAUUAUUGUUAUUAUUAUAAGUUUUCUCUUUUAUCUAGCUUUUUUCCAGUGCAGCAUCACUAGAGAGCCGGUGUGCUUGAAGGAAAGUGCCAGAAAUUCAGCCCUGAUACAUCAGCCUGCAGAUGCCUGUGUCAGCCAGCAUCACAGUUCUUCUUGUGUAUGGUUGACCUAAGAUGCAGAGAUGGAAUAUGCAACUCAGGCGCACCCCAGUACCAGACACAAGACUCAUGCAGAAAAACAGCCAGCUGCUUCAGCUCACUUACUCAGUGCUUUGGCGAGCAGUGGUUGUUUCCGAUGCUUUAUCGAGGAGGCGUUAUCUAAGGUAUUUAAUAUGCACCCACAGCUGUUCAGCCUAUUCUCCCUAGUUACUCA
rnacentral:lncRNA from 1 species